rnacentral:rRNA from 1 species
UACGUAGGUGGCAAGCGUUGUCCGGAUUUUACUGGGCGUAAAGAGCGUCGCAGGCGGUCGUUCAAUGUCGCGUGUGAAAGCCCCCGGCUCAACUGGGGAGGGUCACGCGAUACUGAUCGACUCGAAGGCAGGAGAGGGAAGUGGAAUUCCCGGUGUAGUGGUGAAAUGCGUAGAUAUCGGGAGAACACCAGUGGCGAAGGCGACUUCCAUGGGCCUGUUCUUGAACUGCUGAGGCG